GGGGAUGCCAGGUUUCGACGGGAGAGGCUGAUUCCGGAUUGCGAGCCGAGAGGUACCGACCUCGUAAAAUCAGUACAACAAUUAAGUGCCAACAGCACAAACUACGCAACUCUUCCAGUAGCUGCAUAAGCGAUCGGAAGGGAAGCUGAUCUCCUAAGAGAGAUCACGUCUCCUGAGGCCGUUUUCCUGGCCGGCUUCAGGGCAGACGUCAGAAAGUCAGGAUGCAGCUCACCAAGCCGCGAGGUGAGCCCAAGCGGACUUUAGGGUCCGAGCGGCUAGUCUGAUAGCAGUUUAGUCGGUUGACCUGCUAUCGGACGAAAACGAAUAACCGACUAUGCUCGUAGAGAUCCGAGGAUCUAAUCUUUCGGACGCGGGUUCGAUUCCCGCCAUCUCCACCU
rnacentral:tmRNA from 1 species